rnacentral:rRNA from 1 species
GACGAACGCUGGCGGCGUGCUUAACACAUGCAAGUCGAACGGAAAGGCCCUGCUUUUGUGGGGUGCUCGAGUGGCGAACAGGUGAGUAACACGUGAGUAACCUGCCCUUGACUUUGGGAUAACUUCAGGAAACUGGGGCUAAUACCGGAUAGGAGCUCCUGCUGCAUGGUGGGGGUUGGAAAGCUUCGGCGGUUGGGGAUGGACUCGCGGCUUAUCAGCUUGUUGGUGGGGUAGUGGCUUACCAAGGCUUUGACGGGUAGCCGGCCUGAGAGGGUGACCGGCCACAUUGGGACUGAGAUACGGCCCAGACUCCUACGGGAGGCAGCAGUGGGGAAUAUUGCACAAUGGGCGGAAGCCUGAUGCAGCAACGCCGCGUGCGGGAUGACGGCCUUCGGGUUGUAAACCGCUUUCGCCUGUGACGAAGCGUGAGUGACGGUAAUGGGUAAAGAAGCACCGGCUAACUACGUG